rnacentral:lncRNA from 1 species
CGUUAAUCGCUUUUCUAACAAACUCGCAGUUUGCGGUGAUAAACAUGCCGCGUGUGCGUUAUUGACGAUACAAACCGCGAGGAUAUAGCGAGAGAAAAGUAGGGUGAAGAAGUGACAAGAUUGCGUUGUAAACACACUGGCAUUGGAGAUAACUCGACAUCGAUUAACGGAGCAUUAAGCCCAUGAACUUUAUUACAAUGCAAAAACGAUUUGUUGUUGAGCAUAAAUCAUCGACUCCACGCUGUUCGAACCCAUUGGACCGGUUGGAAAGACGUUGCCAUUGGUCAUUUACAUCGAGGAGAUUCCCAAUUUUCGCAGAAAUCCUUCGAGGCGGAGUUUUUUCUAGAAUUGAGCAGUCGAUUUAGGGAGCGCAUUAGCCACGCUGAGCGAGCAUCGAAAGAACUUUCCUCGUCGUCGGGGAGAAGCUAUUAGUACGCCGUAAAGGUUCGAGUCGACCGUUCUGUUUUACCAUUGGAGGGGGAACGUUGCUGCAGGGUAUCGUAAUGAGCAGGGACGUAAUUUUCGUGACACGAUGACACGGUUCCCUGCGACACGUAUCCCUGGAACAGGAAGUAGCAGUAACCGUCAUACGGCCCGAGUUUAUGGACGUGCUCGCAAGUAACGUCGAUACUGUCUAACGUUUCCUGUGCGAACGCUAUCCUAACGGACAAGUGUACCGACGUUUCGCCGGUGUUGCAGUGGGCGUAAUUAGGGUUCCACGGAAACCAUAGCGUGGCGUUACAUCACACAAAGCUGCACACGACGUCCGUGUGUCCUUAGAAUUCCGAGUUACUGCAAACCAACCGCAGUGCCGGGUGAAACAGUUCUCCGAGGGGACGCGAGACUUUACGCCCGAAGAGCCUGGAAAAUCUGCUCCUAGGGACGUGCACGAAACGGUGAACUCGAUGGAUCGGAGGAAGUCUGCUUUAUCCGUCGUUUUUCGAGCGAACGAGCGAAACGAGGCGACGAAACGAGCCGGAAAGUGAAGCCGAGCGUGGCUCGCGGAACUCUAAUCGGCGCGGAUAUGCGUGCUGAAAAAUUAUCCUGGCGUGCGUAUGGUGUUUAACGCGAGAUCACACCGCGUGGCCUUGACACACAACUCCCUCGGCCAUACGUGCGUUGUGUUCUCGUUACCGGACGACCUACGCUUCCAACUAUACCCGAGCUUUCCUAACUCUGUUUAACACGGUCAAGUUUAAUGGAAUUCCGUGUCCUGGCGUCGAAGAUACCAAUCAAAUUACACGAAUCGGAUGUCGUGCGUCACGCGAUAACCCGACUCGACGAAAUUCGCCGAGGAACCUCGUCAGGCUUCCGAAAAGCUCGGUCACCCAACAGACACAGGGCAGCUUUUCAAUCCUACCACGUAUGGCUCAUGCUCGCGUGUACUUCUAGAUAAUUGCGCGAGAUCUUGAAAGCUCUUGAUUAUUUUCCUCGCGCCUCGUUAUCAUUAUCGUCUUCUUUCUCUCGAACUUGCAUAGGUUAACGGACUGGCAAUUUUUAGUCGAGCACGGAAACGCACGGCAUUGAAAGGCUGCAGGAAAUUACAGGGAGGCUACGAGAAAUUUCGAAUAGCGUGCCUUUCUAUAUACAAUUUAAAAUAGAUUAAAUUACAUGCGACGUUCUGUCCUUUGUUUAUGUAUAAUACGCCCCUUUCACCGACCUUAAUGGGCCACGAAAACCUGCUAAUUAAUACCAGCCUUCUUUUUACUCGAAUACAAUUGUCACGAUCUCGAAAGACGCAUCUCUGACAUUUCCUACACGAUUAACCCUUCUGCAGUCGAGGCAAGAAACUUUCAGUCACUGGUUAGCAAUGCUAUAAGAGUCACAAAAAUUAGUAAACAUCGUAUUAUCUCCAAAAAAAUGUCAUAAACUCUGCAGCAGUGAAAAGACUCCACUGUAAAGGGUUAAUUCUGUCUCGAGACAAUGAAAGAGAUUCGAUGCUGGAGAAGCCUCAUCCACGAUGUUUCUCGCAGAUAUAGGGAGAACAUUGAGAUGGGUAAAUUCAGUGAAAUACCGAAGAAAACGAGACGACGAGGAACAUUUCCAUAACACGAGUUACCGCAACCGUGACUCGCUCACAGAUGCAUGGAAUUUUUCAAUACAUAUUAGCAGCGGCCUUAUGUGCUUAUAAGUUAUUCAAACCGUGUUAUCUGAACGAUACCUCCGUUUGUUUCGGUUCUCGAACUCUUCGAGAUAACCGGUUAUUUCGCAUCCGAACUUCGGACCAAGUAGCCACGGGAAUACGACCAGGUUCCAUUAAAAUUACUUUCAUCGACGCCAGAUUCAUCCUAAACCGU